rnacentral:lncRNA from 1 species
UUUCCUUUCAUCGAUGACACCUUCUUUUUCUUUUUCACGAUGCGUCAGACCUCCCCGGUUUUUUCCCUUUUCGGGCACACACACCCCCCAAGAAGAAACCAAAACACACCAUCAUUCACGUUCCAAAAGGGGGGUCCUUCCCCCCCUCUCUCACUCUCCCUCUCGAGAUACCUGUUCCGGUUCGAACUGUGCUGUGUCGAACUUUAGCACCACCCCCUUUUCCCCCCUUCAACACACCCCGC